rnacentral:tRNA from 1 species
UCCCUCAUAGCUCAGUCGGUAAAGAAUCUGCCUGCAAUGCAGGAGAUCUGGGUUCGAUUCCUGGGUUGGGAA